rnacentral:rRNA from 1 species
CCUACGGGGGGCAGCAGUGAGGAAUAUUGGUCAAUGGACGAGAGUCUGAACCAGCCAAGUAGCGUGAAGGAUGACUGCCCUAUGGGUUGUAAACUUCUUUUAUAAAGGAAUAAAACGAGGCACGUGUGCCUUUUUGCAUGUACUUUAUGAAUAAGGAUCGGCUAACUCCGUGCCAGCAGCCGCGGUAAUACGGAGGAUCCGAGCGUUAUCCGGAUUUAUUGGGUUUAAAGGGAGCGUAGAUGGGUUGUUAAGUCAGUUGUGAAAGUUUGCGGCUCAACCGUAAAAUUGCAAUUGAUACUGGCAGUCGUGAGUACAGUUGAGGUAAGCGGAAUUCGUGGUGUAGCGGUGAAAUGCUUAGAUAUCACGAAGAACCCCGAUUGCGAAGGCAGCUUACUAAACUGUGACUGACAUUGAUGCUCGAAAGUGUGGGUAUCAAACAGGAUUAGAUACCCCGGUAGUC